GGGAAUGUGGCUCAGGGGUAGAGUGCUUGCUUUGCAUGCAUGAAGGCUUGGGUUCGAUUCCUCAGUUCCA
rnacentral:tRNA from 1 species